GCUGGGCAUGGUGGUGCACACCUGUGGUCCCAGCUACUCUGGAGGCUGAGGCAGGAGGAUCACUUGAGCCCAGGAGUUCAAGGCUGCAGUGAGCCAAGAUUGCAUCACUGCACUCCUGCCUGGGCAACAGAGCAAGACCCUGCCUCAC
ensembl:misc_RNA Metazoa_SRP Metazoan signal recognition particle RNA